ACUUACAUUAGAAACAAACAGAACAAAACAAAACAGAACUAAAAGCCCAUGUUACAGGAAUAACUUAGAGGUUUCGUAAUGAUAAACUGGUUCUGAAGGUGAAAACAAGUUCUGAUAGAUUUCAAAUUUGUCAAAGUGUUCAUUGAGGCUUUCAGUGUUCCCAUUCAGUGUUCCAGUGUGUGUUUUGUUUAUAUCUAACAUUAUUUCCAGAUGGUUUAGGAGGAAAAACAUAAAGAUUUUUUAAGGCAGUGUCAUCACGUUUUAUCCUAAUUUGGAAACAAACAAUAUUUUAUUAUGCUUUUCUUUUAUACAUACAUAUAUGCCUUUCUUUGAUAUAUUUAAAGCAUAUUUUUCCACUUCCUCUUAUGCCUUUUUGCAAGUUGGAUCUUUUUUUUAUUGUUAUUUAGUGUUUUUUGAUCUCCCUCCAAAAGCUUUAUGACAGCUGAGUUUAAGUGGCUGCUUCAGGCUACAGAAGUCAAAGAUGAAAUUGAAUUAUGCUUCCAGGCUUGGCAUACAAAAUCAAGAAAAAUUUCAUUCAUUAUGAUUAAUUAAUCCAGAAGCACAGUGGUAGUAUUAUGAUUAUAUUGUAUCUGGAAUUUGGCGUAUUUUCAACUGACAUUUACAUGGUAAAGGAGAAAAGGGAAUGGUAACUCUGUGCCUGGCAAACUGCUCCAUAAUAGACAGGCUGGGGAAAAAAAAAAAGAACAAAAAAGAGAUGAAGAGAAGAAAAGAUGUUAUAUAUUGCAUGUGGGGGGUUGGAUUUUUUGAGUUUCCUCUCACUAUUGAUUAUUUCCUAGAAAAUCCAUAGUAUGGAAUAAUGAAUGGUUUCCAAGUCAGAGUUACCCUCAAUACCAUUUUUAUUAUAUGCCUCAAUUUGCCUUACAUGGUCUUAUAAUGAAAAUUAAUCACAGUGAUAGUGACAUGCACAAGUGAAUAAUAAAAACAUUUUUAAAAUUGCCGGUUAGAGAAGAGUCAUUGCUAGUGAGAAUUGACGACUCAAAUCCCUUUACGUGGACUCUUUCCUUUAUUGCAAUAAACUUCAAAACUACAUUACCUGGGAUUUAUAUUACUAUCUAGAGGAUAGCUGAUAUAACUAAGAGACUAACAUGGCUGAGAAGGAACAGUUCUCAAGGAUGAGGAAGACUGAGAAAAAGACAGAUGAAGAAAGAGAGGGAGAGAGGCAAGAGAGGGAAUUAGGGUGAAUCUGUUAGUCACUGCUGCGGUAAUAUAGAAUAAUAAAUAAUCACAAAAUCUCAGUGAUAUACAACAAUAAUUACAUAUGUAUCACACAUCUGUGGGUCAACUCUGCUGAUCUCUACUAGUCUUGUUUAUGCAUACGCAAAUCAAGAGGAUAUCAGUUGCCCUGGGCUGGCUGAGAUCUACUGGGCUUCUCAGCUUCAAAAUGCAGGUCUGUGGGUCAGCCAGAAGGCUGUGUUCCUCAUCUUUCUCUGAAUAACUGGCUAGCUGAGGCAUGUUCUUCUCAUGGCAAAGGCAGAAGUCCAAGACAGAGCAAGCUCCUCCACACAACACUUCAAGCUUAAGUGCCCAUGACAUCUGUAAACAUCCAUUGAUCAAAGGAAGUCACAUAUCCUGGGCAUUAGUAGAAUGGGGAAACAGUAGGCCAUGGAGAGAGUAAGAACUGUAGCAGUUACUCCAUCAUCACAGGAGGGGAAAUGGAAGGGGGAGUGAGUGUUAGAGAGACACUUGGAAACAAAUAAUCUUCGAUCUUUCCUGACUCACAGCCAAGCAGAUGAAUUUGUUUUGGUAAUAUCCUACCUUCAAGGUGUUGGGAGCUUCAUUAGAUUUUAUUUUGAGGAAUUUUUGCUAAUAACAUGGUGGUAACUUUGGGGAACACAUUCUAUUUUGGGUCAUAAUACACUUUGGUGGCAACUUUCUUUGCUGUGUAUUGGCGUGAAGAUUUUUCUGAGCAGUGUGGGAGAAACUUUCUUUUCUAGGGGGCUGUGAAUUUCCAUUUGUCAUUAAUUUUGAGUCAUGCUGUCAUCAUGACAGCUCAGAGUCCCUACAUAUGCAAACAUCAGAUAAGGCAGGUAGGUGUAAGUCAGGUUGCUCUCUGAAAUGUACUGUGCAUAAGUGCUAUAUAUGGAUUUAAGCAUAUAUAAGAAAGCCAGUUAAAGACAAAGAGAUUUUUAAUCAUUAAGGCACACAUAGGAAUACUGACAAAAGACUUACUUCUAUAACUGAUUCUAUAUCCAUUUGUGUCAUUAUAUUCCUUGAAGUACCUUAUUUUCUUUAUCUGUAAAAUGAGAUAUUUAAAACAUGGAGCAAAACUUACCUGUAUAACCAAAAGAUCUAUACCAAAAUAUUCAAGUCUGCAAUUCUGACAAAUGAAAUGUGUUCUACUUUCAGGGUUUUACAAAAAUUUUGUUGUAUAAGUAUCUAUUCCAAUAGGAAUGUGACUUGUAGCUAAUGUCACAAUCAGACAACUAGAACAAAACACUGGUACCUUUUGUCUGUAUAGCACCCUUUUCUUUAGACAUCUACCACUUCUCUACAGCAGAAGGUUCUGGGAGAAGUGUCACUCAAGAGACUCUGCCCCCCUACAACUUCCACCAUGACUGAAGAGACCAUUCAGACCUAACUGGGCCAAUGAGACUCUCUCUCCUGGAAAUGUGUACCUUGAGGGUGAUGCUCAGGAAUGGAAUCCUGGAACCAGAUGGAGCUGAGCAAUUGAAUGGUAGGGCACUAAAGGGUGAGAGUUCCAUUACCUGGGUCCUCAGAGCUUCCCUGGUAUCCACCUUUUCCAAGACUUAAUUUUUCCUUCCUUGGCUAUGUAACAACUCUCUCUUGAUAAAUUGCUUUUUUGUCUUUGUUAGCCAGAGUCCAUUUUUGUUGCUUGUAACCAAACAAAGCAUGCUUGAUAAUGUGGAUGAAAUCAAUUGGCUUUCAUUCCACUCUCAUUCUAAUUUGGAGAUGCUUGAAAACCAAUCCUCUCAUCUCUCAGACUCUCUUGCAGCUAAGGUUCUGAAUGUAAUUCAAGUUCCACUUCAGUGUAAUUUGAAGCAUUAGUAUAGGAUUUAAAAGACUGAAAUGAGGCAGAGGCCAUUUUUCUGUCCAUUUUUGACUGUCUCAGCUCAUAAACAUAGUUGUGAAAAUCAGAUUUCUCUGCAACAAUAUCCCACCGUCCACUCUACAGCUUCCUUGGUAAGAAGAAGUGGUAGUGGUGGCAGCAACAGCAGCAGUGGCUGCUUGUUCUCAUCUCCUAAUCCCUGAAUUGUAGUUUCGUGGGUACCCAGAAGCCAGAGAAGCAGUGGCAGCAGAGUGGUAGCAGGUUCUUGACUCAGGCAUGGCUUCAAUAGUGCCUCAGUGGCAGUAGCUGGUGAAUCAGUUAUAAAUUAUUCAGCAAUCACUUCUAAAUACCUAGAGUAUAGCCUGAUCCUUCCAUACUUCUAAUGAUUUCAUAAGAAGUUAUUUUUUGUAUUAAAUUCUUCCUACUUAGAAAUAUCUGAUGUGGUCUUUUCUGCAUUGAACCUUGACCAAUAUGGAACCCUAACUUAUAUAAAUAUAUCAAUGAUCUAGAAAAGGAGCACCUAAGCCAAUCAGGUAGGAAUAAGCAAAUCUAGUGUCGAACAAGGAUGGUCAAAUUAAUUUUGUACUUAAAUUUCCUCUACAUGCUCAUCAACAAAUCUGUACUUAUGUAAUGAAUAUAGAAGCUAUAAAAUUUGUAAGAUAUAGAUAAGUGCUGGAUUAUAUGAAUUCAGAUUUUCUAAGAUAACUAAGGAGAUUUCCUGAGAUAAUAUUUCCCUGAUAUUAAUAUAGUUACAGCAGAUGGUUUUCAAUUGAAAAAUCAAUUCUAAAAUCAAAUAUUCUAAGAACAAAGAACUAAAAAUAGCCAUGAUACUCCUAAAUGAGUAGUGGAACAAAGUGAGGGAACUUGCCUUAGUAGAUACAAAUUUAUUCUAAAAGCAGUGACAAAUAAAAUAAUAUUGUUACUUUGGGUAAACUGACAGAACAGAAUGAAGUGAGUAGGAAGAGCCUCACACAGUAUGGAAACUUGAUAUAUGAUAGGGCUGGCAAUGAGGCUCAAAAAGCAUGGACUAGUUGUUCCAAUAUGCUGAGAAGACUAGUUGCAGGAACUUUUAAAAAGCACCACUUCACUCUGUUCACACACAGACACACACACACACACACAUGCACACAGACACACACACACACACAUGCACACACUUCAUGUGAUUUGGUGAUUUAUCCAUAAAUGGCAAAACUUUGGUGAUUUAUCCAUGAAUGGCAAAAUUUUAAAAUUUUAAGACUUUGAGAAGAAAAUACAGUAGAACAGCUUUAAGAUUUCUGAGUAUGGUUGAGUAGGGAAGACAUUCUUAAACAAGAUACAAAAAAUCAAAAACCAUAAAAGAAAAGAUUGGUCUUGUCUUUGACUGCAGUUAGUUCCUGAAAAACAUAGACGUCUAGUCAGAUAAAAGUCAAUGCCUCUGGAGUUCUCGUCGUGGCUCAGUGGUUAACAAAUCCAACUAGGAACCAUGAGGUUGUGGGUUCGAUCCCUGGCCUUGCUCAGUGGGUUGAGGAUCCGGCGUUGCCGUGAGCAGUGGUGUAGGUCAUAGACGUGGCUCGGAUCCCGUGUUGCUGUGGCUGUGAUGUAGGCCGGCAGCUACAGCUCCAAUUCGACCCCUAGCCUGGGAACCUCCAUACGCCAUGGGAGCGGCCCAAGAAAUAGCAAAAAAACAAAAAAUAAAUAAAAAUAAAUUCCUGCCCUUAGUCUGAGCCUAAAUGCAGAUUUCACUCUAUCCCCCACCCAAUGACUUCUGCCCCCCCGCCAAAAAAAGUCAGAUGCCUCAGAGAUUGGUCCUCCACAAGUGACAGCAGAGUCACAUCUAAAUGAUGAAGACAUAACAGGGACACAGAGUUAAGGACUAAGAAAAGGUGUUGUGUGGACCCAGUUUGUUAGCCUGGGCAGCCAGUUGUGUGCCACAUAAGGAAGACCUGCUACCAUUCAAGAAAAAGGCAGGGCAUGUGGCAUUGAUAAAAUUCAACACAGACUUUCAUCAUACCGGAUCUCAGUAGUGUCAUUAUUUUCAUUUCCUAUUAAAUGGUCCAUAGUGAUAAGGCUUUAUGGCUUUAUUUAUUAUAAAUUCUGUUCAUUGAAAACCUUUGAAGAACAUAUGACAUCUCUAGUUCCCAUAAAUACGAAGUAUUUAAAAUAUUUAGGUAGUUAUUGAUUUUUUUUAAAUAACUGGAUAUCUAAUUGUAUUUUCAUAUAGUGUAAGAUACCUUAAACUGUAAUAGACUUAGCAAAGUUCUACUGACAUUUUAAGGGCCUAGGGAAGAACCUG
rnacentral:lncRNA from 1 species